UGGCAUUUAAAUCCCCGGCGCUCCUCAGUCUAGGUGACGCGCAGUCGCCCCCCCAGGCAGCCCGGGCGGCAGCAGCAGCUGCGGCAGCUGCCGGGGCAGAUUCGGAGCGCUGGGGCGAAGGGGAGCAGAGGCUGCUUUCUGCGCGCGCUGACUCCGAUCGGCCCCCCCGCUCCGGGAAGUGGGGGCUGGAAGGCAUCCCCCGUCACCGCCCCCCUCCCCACCACGCACAGAAAGAUGAAUUGGCAAGAGGUCUGUUUGCCUGGACCCAUCAACAGCUGGGAGACUAAUCAACCACACUGAAAAUGUUCGGGGAUUUGUGGGGGAGGGGUUUGGAAUGUAAAUGUUUGAAACAAAUGUGUAUAAAUAAAUGAAUUCUUGAUAACUUA